rnacentral:lncRNA from 1 species
UUUGUUUAAAAUUCAUUAUAAAAUUAUGAGAUAUAUAUUUUUGAAUAUACUUAUAAUAUUCUCAAUAUUCACCCAAAUAGAUCCUCAGAGUUAAAGUUAUCUCGAAUAAAACACGGGACCCUGAUUUAUUCAUCGAACGAUUGGGAUUAAAUUCCUUUAAGAACAGAUUCCCAUCUUAAAAGCAAUAUCUCCUUCUAUUUUUUGAGGAAAUUUUGAGAAAACCUCCACUUUUCAAUAAUUCAAAGGAUUUUCUAAUAAUUUCUUCUCCUAAAAAAAACUAACAGAAAUUAGAAAAAAGAAAAGAAACCGAUGAAAUUGGAACUGUUUUAUCGGUUUAAUAUUUGAAUCAGUGUGAUUUAAUUACAAGUUUGAACCAUAUCAUUAUACUGUAAUUAAAUACAAUUACCAAUAUUACGUCAUAUAAAAAAAUAGAAAAGAAACAAAAACAUUAAUAAUUAUUCCAUUUGAUUGAAGUUUAAUUAUGAUUGGCCGUUAAUUAAGAAAUAAAAUUCGUCACCUUCGUUAUAUCCGUCCAUGGAGUGUAGACACAUUUUCAGGAAAUACAUGAGUUAACAUUAAGAAUCCUCUUUAGUAUUUUUAUUUAGGUAAAUUUUGUAUAUAUAUAUAAGAUUUUGUCCAUGGGUAGUGAUUUAACUAAUUAAUCGACCAAAUGACUUGUAUUCAUAAAAAACGUUCGUCUUGCCAAGAAGAAUACAUUUAUUCGUCUCUUUGCUCAGUUUUAUUGUUUCUUCAGAAAAAGUUUCUAGAUUAGUUUCUACUACAUAACUUCAUCUUCAUUUUGAUGAUAAUGUAAAAGAAGUUCAAUCCUUAGAAUAUAUUUCUAUAGUGACCAAGGAAUUAUUCAUAAAGAAAACGAAGAGCCCACAUCGUUUUGGAUCGGAAUUGGAUUCAAAGAAAGUAAAGAUAAAUCAUUUUUAGUAUUUCUAUGUUACUAAAAAAAUCUUAGAUUUCCUCAGAUUAUGGCCAUGGGUAAUUAAUCAUUAAUUAAUUAAUCGACCAAACGACCUCAUAUUUGGAAAUCUAUCUUGUGUAUUCAGAAGAAACGUUCGUCUGCCAAGAAGAAUACAUUUAUUUGUAUCCUUGGUCAGUUUUCCUGGUUCUUCAGAAAAAGUUCCUAGAUUAGCUUCUACUCCUCUUCAUCUUCAUUUAAAUGAUAAUGUAAAAGAAGUUCAAUCAUUAGAAUAUAUUUCCUUAGUGACCAAGGAAUGAGAAGAAACAUUACAUAUUAAAGUAAAAUAACAAUAAUAUUACUCUCGAAAAAUUGAAUUAUGAUGUUUUUAACUGAAUAAUGACUAAUUUUAAAGCAUUUUACCAUACUAUUUUAUUAUAUUUAUAAGGAGCUCCAUAAUUAUUCACUAAUUUGCUAUUUGAUUCAUCGUAUUAUACUCUUUACUUACUAUAGUAUAUAAUUGCAAUUGUACUCGUAACUUAAUAAAAAGAAUUAUAAGCUAAAUAAAUUAAUU